CACGUAUUUAGCCGUUCCUUUCUGGUAAGAUACCGUCACACAUUGAACAGUUACUCUCAAUGUCAUUCUUCUCUUACAACAGUGUUUUACGGGCCGAAACCCUUCAUCACACACGCGGCGUUGCUCCAUCAGGCUUUCGCCCAUUGUGGAAGAUUCCCUACUGCUGCCCUCCCGUAGGAGUAUGGGCCGUGUCUCAGUCCCAUUGUGGCCGAUCAGUCUCUACAACUCGGCUAUGCAUCAUCGUCUUGGUGAGCCAUUACCUCACCAACUAACUAAUGCACCGCGGGACCAUCUCUUAGUGAUGCAGAACCAUUCUUUAAGUAGCAACCAUGCGGUUGCUUAUUGUUAUACGGUAUUAGCAUCUGUUUCAAUGUUAUCCCUGCUAGAGGUUAGGUUCCCAGUCGUUACUCACCCUAUUCCGCCACGUUCUUCGCAUGUCCAUUCGUCAUAUCUG
rnacentral:rRNA from 1 species